GAUUGCCGCUACGGCACAGGUGCCGGCGUGAGCCGGCUAAUAGGGAAUUCGGUGCCGCUGCGAUCAGCGCCGUGCAUUUUGCAUAGAUGAUCGAUCGCAGCAAUUCCGAAGCUGCCCCCGCAACUGUCAGCGGUGAGUCGUUGUCCACGAUGCCACUGAGCGAAAGCUCGGGAAGGCGGGCAACGGCGGCGAUCCGCGAGCCAGGAGACCUGCCUGUACCGGUCAUCCUUC
rnacentral:ncRNA from 2 species